UACGAAGGGGGCUAGCGUUGUUCGGAAUUACUGGGCGUAAAGCGCGCGCAGGCGGCUAUCCAAGUCAGUGGUGAAAGCCCGGAGCUCAACUCCGGAACUGCCUUUAAAACUGCAUCGCUUGAAUCCAGGAGAGGUGAGUGGAAUUCCGAGUGUAGAGGUGAAAUUCGUAGAUAUUCGGAAGAACACCAGUGGCGAAGGCGGCUCACUGGACUGGUAUUGACGCUGAGGUGCGAAAGCGUGGGGAGCAAACAGG
rnacentral:rRNA from 1 species